GAAAAUGGGUGAGGAUCACAGUGCCAAAGCUUGCAGCCUAAGGUUAUCAACAUUGAUGAAGAGGCUGCUGGUAAUUCUUCCGGUGAAGAUAUUAACGCCACGAAAGCUUAAAUGUAAUUGAUUAAAGGAAGAAGCGCUUGCUUUGCUUGAUGUGCUAUUCGUUUAUGAUCUUUUCCUGGUUUUGUUGUGAGAUGUUUCUCUUUGGAUUUUCUGUUUAUUGUACUUUGAUGGGUUUUUGAGGAUGACUUGUAUGUAUUAACAACAAUUAAGUGCUUUUUAUAUAUCCCUAGUCCUACAGCACUAAAAAAGAAAUUAAUACGCUUGGUUUAUUGUUAAUAAAAUAUAUAUAUAUAUAUAUAUAAGCGGACGCUGUAUAACAAUAGACACACGGCGCAUACAUAAAAUGUAAAUAAUUUUUAAAUAUUAAACAUUUAAAAUAGUCAAGCAUAUUAACAAUUUACAAUUUAGAUUAUAUGUAGACGAAAUAAUGGUAAUAACAAUAAAGUACUUUUUAUAAAGUCCUACAAUAGUAAAAGAAUUAAUGAGCUUGGUUUUUAUUAAUAAAAACCAACAGAAACAACACCCGAUUUAAAAAAAUUACAUACACAAAGACACCCGAUUUAAAAAAAUAAUUACAAUGCUAACAAUAAAAUAAUUCAAUCGUCCCCUGAUCAAUCAUCAAAAAUCCAUUUGUUAUCUAUUUCAACAAGAGGUAUAUGGGUUAACAAGUCCCAAUAUUGUCCUCCAUCCUUUCUGCACUUCUCUGCUAUCAACGAACAUCCAUAGAUCCAUAAUUGCAAAAGUGAGGAAGGCAGGCCCUUCUCCGGAAAGUAUUUGAGCUUGGGACAAUCCUUGAGAUAUAAACGAGUGAGGUUUUGAAGAUCAACAAUUGAAGAAGAUAGGCGUUCCAGAUUUGGAAAAGCUUCAAUCGACAGAGAUGUUAGAGAGGCAGGAAGAGGAAGCGCGGUCCCUAAUCUUUUGUCCUCUAGUGCAAAUGACACCAUGUCGUCAUCACAUCCUUUGAUUGUGAGUUCUUGCAGAGAGAAGAAUCUGUGAAAUCCCCGGCCCCGCUCAAUCAUUGACUUCCAAAUCUCCAUAUUACCCCAAAUACAAAGUGACCGAAGGUUGGUGGGAAGGCCAUCUUCUUCAAGGCUUGGAAGCUCACCUCCUAUUCCUAUUGUUAAGUAUUGAAGAGUGCUCAGAUUAUGCAAUCCCUUGGGUAAGGCCUCUAGUCUCUUACAAUCAUAUAUCCGCAGCUUAGUGAGUUUCGCACAAGGCAAUCCCCCUUCGGGAAAGGACACUAGAUUUCCACACAACUCAAUUGUAAUCUCUUGAAGCAGCCGGAGAUUAUGUAAACCACUCGGUAAAAUCUUCAGAUUUUCACAAUUAAUAAUACUGAUUGUUUCAAGAGAUGUGUUGUUGUCCAACCUUUCUGCUAUUGACUCCAGCUUUGAACAUCGCCAAACUAAAAGGGACUUAAGAGACGGAGGUAGAUUGCCAACUUCAAGGGACUCAAGCGUGGCAGGUAACUCGUUUUUUGAAAAUAUACAUGUCAGUGAUGGACAAUUGAAAACAAACAACUCCUCGAGAAGAGAUGAGGUGUACCUUCCGCUGCUGCUGCUACACUGGAUGCCCUCUUCCACUGUCAAAGUCCUUAUAUUAUCGCAACACCAGAUCGUCAACCCCUUAAGGCUCGAUGGUAGCUGGACAGCAGCAAUAUAUGUCAACGAAUGGCAGUCCUCAAUAUUCAAGAUCUCGAGAGACGAAUUGGUGUCGCACAUCCAUGCCUCUGGUAACGAUUUCAGUGCAUCACAAUGCAUAAUCUUAAUUUUCUUCAACUUGGAAGGCAGAGCAACCUCAGGAAAGGAAACAAGGGAACUGCACUUGUAGAUUUCUAUCUCUCUCAAGGAACUGAGGCUGAGCGAUGAUUGUGGCAGCUUCACAAGGCCUUCGCAAUCUCUCAAUUCUAGAUAUUCAAGUCUGCAUGACAACUCGCAGAGCUGCUGUUGUUGGUCUUUCUCUUCCUCCGCCACCAAGGAUUGAAGUUUGGGACAGCUGUCAAUCGUCAGGCUUUUGAGAGAGCAAAUGUCUUGCAGUAAUUCGUUAUGACUCGUCCAUAUAUAUGUCUGCUCUUUCAUAUUUUCUAUCUCCAAUUCUUCCAAUUUUGGUAGUUGCGGCUUCAAUGGCCCUGCAAGAAACACUUGAUUUGAUGUUUCUCGACAAACCACCGAAUUCUGUGACCCGAGAUGAUCAGUUGCACUUCUCCACACAACCUUUUUACAUCCACCAAUUUCAAAUUUGCAAAGAGCUGGAAGACUUGCAACUGAAACUAGCAAUUCUUCACAUCCUUCAAUUACAAGUAUCUCCAAUGCGGGAAGGUGUUCUGGAAAUGUUCCUUGCAGCUUAGAACAGCUUAAAAUGUGAAGCUCUCUCAAUUUAGGAAACCGUUCAACUCCUUGACUAGAUCCAUGAGGAAUCCAGUCUUCCCACUCUUGCAUGUCUUCAAAACGAAGAGUCUCCAAGCAUGGAAAUGGAAUUGGAGCGUCAUUCCCAUAGAACUCCGAACCCAAACUCCUUACUCUGCUCAUUCUACGUACUGCAAGAUGCUUUAGAGAGGGUAGUUGGCCGACUGACGGCAGGGCAGUACACAUGUCACAAUUUUCAAAUUUUAGGGUCACCAAAUUUGAGAAUGAGGAAUCUCCCAACCAAGUUGGAAAUUUCAUACCUCCAUAGCCUUUGAUACAAAAUUGCUCCAGAUUUGUAUGAGGUUUUAGCAUGUCAAGCACGCCCAUUUCAGUUUCUGCCUCCCUUGAAGAUGAACCAUCGGUACUGCAAGUCCAAUUAAGCGAUAAUUCUUUCAGAUUCUUCUUUCCAUCCAACCGAGCCUCCUUUGCAUCACCAAUGUCUUUUACAUUCUCUAAUUUUGAAAUUUUAAGUGUCCCCUGAAGAUGGAUCAAUGACUUUAGCUCUCGUAACCCAGAACCAUUGUCUUUUCCCACAGCAAAAUUACACAACGUCUGAAGACAAGUCAGCUUACCAAUUCCUAGUGGCAUUUCCUCCAACGAAUCUGUAUUUGAAUUAUUGAGAUGAUGCAAUUUGGUGAGGUUUCCCAUGUCUGCACACAACUUCUUCAGUAGCUUACAGCCCUCCAACAGAAGGGUGUGCAAAUUGUAAAGCUUGCUGACUGAUUCAGGCAGAGUUUUAAUCUCAGUUCCAGACAGGUUGAGGUACCUUAAAUACCUCAAAUCACCAACUGAAUCCGGCAGCUCGGAGAUGCGAUAUCCACGCAGAGAGAAGACCCUUAAGCUUUGGAGUUUGAACAACUUAGGAAGAAUGCUAUGAGCCAAGUAUCCACGCGCACUAUUUGACAACAUCAGUGGUAAAAAAUUUCGCAAAUGUUGGAUAUCAUACAAUUUCUCAAACCUUUUAACGCCGUCACAUUCUCCACAAAUAUAUGAUAGAUGACGAAGAUUUCUUGAAAAACUUUGCUGCUUGUUAACCUCUGAGAUAUACUCCAUUCUGAAGUACAUUUCCCCAGCAGCCCAUUGAGCAAGGUCGUUGACGAGGUCAUGCAUCACAAAUCGUGAUCUACUGCUGCUUGAUUGCUGGAAAAAAGAUCUUGCACGUAGCUCUUGAAAGAACUUUCGACCUAGAUCUUCACUAGGAUUCCCGCUCUCUCCGUGAUCCAAGAAACCCGAAGCACACCAUAAUAAAAUUAUCUCCUCCUCUUCAAAUUCGUAAUCCUUUGGUAACAAUGAGCAGUAUGCAAAGCAUUGUUUCAAAGUUGGAGGAAGAUAAUAAUAGCUCACUGCAAGGGCUGGUAUAAUGCGACAUCUCUCUUGUGGUAAUUCCCAUAUCUUGCUACUAAGCACAUCUUCCCACUCACGUCUGUCAUGUUUUCCACGUAAAAGUCCUCCCAGUGCUUUUGCUGCCAAGGGCAAGCCAUUGCAUUUUAUCACUAUCUUCUUGCCAAUGUCCUCCAAUGACUUAUGAGAACUGAAAUCUCUCGUUCCCAAAGAGUGCUGAGCAAACACAGACAGACAAUCCUCAGUUGACAAGUUUUUCAAUUCAUAAGCUUGAUCCGGGCUCAUGAUUUUUGCAACCUCUUGAUUGCGAGUAGUGACAACAAUCUUACUUCCCUGUGCGCCAGCUUCAAAUGGAAGGCUGAGGUCGACCCAAUCAGUGUAAUCCUCAUUCCACACGUCGUCCAAAACUAGCAAAAACUUCUUUCCAAACAGGUGUUUCUUCAAUUUCUCUUGAAGCAAAUUUAAGUCCUGAUUAUCCACAUUCUGGUCAGCAGCAAUGGAAAUUAGGAUUGAUUUUGUAAGCCUGAAAACAUCAAAAUCAUCAGAGACGCAAGUCCAUGCCUUGAGAUCAAAAUGAUCCUCCACCUGCUUAUCAUUAUAGACAAGCUGAGCAAGAGUGGUUUUACCCAGCCCGCCCAUACCUAUAAUAGGAAUAACAGAGAAUCCACCAUCAUUUCUUGAAUCAUCCUUCAACAACAAUUCAACAAUUUCCUUCUUUUCUGUUUCCCUGCCAGAGACCUUGGCUUCAUUCACCAAAGAGGUUGUCUCUAGCCUUUGACUGGCUUUUUUGGACCCUCCAGCUGAACUUACGUUCAAACCCAGCGAGUCUUUCUGUGUCACAAUAUCUUGAAAUCGGUCGUUGAUCUCUUUGAUUUUGGACAUCAUGGCGUAAUCGAACUGAAUCGAUUGUGGAGUAAAAGUGGUGCAGCAAGUAGGAAUGAGCUUCCGAAACUUACUUGUUCUUGUACGACUGCUACUGGGUUGAUCCUGAGCAGCAGCUGGAUCUCCAUUUCCAAGCAGCAACUUCCUCCGUAAAGCCUCAGUUUGAAACUCAUCCAACAAGUCUUCAACAUCAUAAGCCAAGUCCUGAAGCUUGCCAAGCCACUUCUUCACAAACUGAUUAGUCGUCUUCUUCUCCUCAGCAUCAUCAAGCACCGCCUUGAUCAUCUCCAACAUAUUCGCCCACUUCAUCAGAUCGGCCUUGAUUUGCUCUUGGCGUGCAAAAAACAGAAUCCCCUCUGAAGCUAACUUAUUGACCAGCAAAUCAACGGACGCCUUAAGGAUUGCCUCUCCGAUGAUUGACAUUUUUUUUUCUCUCUUCUCUCUUUUUUUUUUUUUUUUUUGGGGCAAAGAAAGAAGCAGAAUUUUGAGUUUUGAAAAGCAAAAUGAGAAAAUUGAACAGAAACUGUGAAGGGUCAAGCAAAAUGCAGGUAACAAGUCUUCCACUUGUUGUUUAUUCCAGGAAAGGGAAAAUAAAAACAGAGCCCACCACCCAUUAAUAAUUUAGCAAUUUACCAAUCACCAACCACCACCACUUGUUACCAGAUUCAAUAAAUAUAAAAUUGCACGUUGAUAUUUGUAGGGCCAAGCAACAUUAAUCCAAUGUCUGGUAAAUGCUGAAUAAAGAGGAAAAUGGAAUGUAUCUACUACGGACCUUCGCUUUACAAGUCUUCAAAGUCAUAAUAAUUACUUUAUUUAUUGAAUUAAUUUUCAUGCUAAAAUGAAGACUUAAAAGUAUACUACAAUAUUUUAUAAUCACAAUGAUAAUUUUAACAAUCAUGUUAUAUUAAUGUCGUGUAAAAAUAAUUUAUAAUAAAAUUUUAGCCGAAUAUAGUAAAUUCGACUUAUUUAUUACAUAUAUAUAUUUCAUAAAAUAAUAACACAAUUAAUAUGUUAUCAAUCAAAUAGAAACUCUAAUGAUUGAAUAAUGAUAUUACUGGUAUUUAUAAAUUUCUAAGACGCGAUAAUUAUGUGGGGGACAUAUAUUUAUGGUUAUAGAAAAUGGCGGUAAAAAUGGUACAAAUCUAAUAUAAUAAAAAUGUAUAAACUGUAGUAAAUUAAUGUUUACUUCAAAGGACGUUAUAAAUAUCGCUUUCCUUAAUACGUUAUUUGCUCCCAUUGAUUGAGUUAUGCAUAUGGAUUAAGCAAAUAUGCAUCUAAGAUACAAUAAAGCAUUGAUUUGUUUGUUUACGUUUUACAUCAAUGAAAGCAACACAUGAAUAUUCUUGAAUGUUAUAAGCCUAACAAGAAUUAAUAUAUUAUUCUUACAAGAAAAUAAUAUGUUAGAUAUUUGAUGCAUAAAAAAUAAAUGUUAAUCGAUGAAAUUCUUUUAAAGAAAGAGGACUACCAAAAAAAAUGGUGUAGGAUAAUUUUAUUCAUGUCUAAUUGACAUUUAUUUUUUAUGAAUGUAGGGGUAUUUUGGUAAUUUUAUGGACACAAGCGUUAUAUGUUGUGGAUAGAUGUUCGUUUUGAACUACAUUGCGUGUGGUUAGUCGUAUUUCACAUUUAUGAAAAGUAAUUAUGUUGUUUCCUUGAUUAGGAGAAACUGCGAAUGAGAACCAAGCCGUUGAUAUGAACAAUAGUCGAGUUUAAGUAUUGUCACUAUGAGUGAAAUAUGCAAACCCAUUUUCAUAUUUUAUUAUGAUUUUAGAGUGUAGUAAACCAUAUUUGAAAAAUAAGAUUUUAAUGCUCUAAUUUAAUGAUUUCUAGAAUAAAUUUGAUUUACGUAUUGGUACAUUAUUCAAAAUUUUAUGAUUAUUGGUUUUCCCUAUCGAUUUUGAGUAAUGCAUAAUGGUACUUUGAAGAAAAGAAAAGUAAAUUUAAUGUUAAUGGAAAGAAAAGAAGACUUAAUGUACGAUUAAAAAUGUGUUAUUUAUGUGUAUAAAAAUUUGUUAUUAAAAAUCAUGAGACAAGACCUUCUCCAUUUAGUUACAAUGAUACAGAUAAGAUGAGAGCCCUUUGGGACCCCUCUGAACACAUAGAGAGGUUAAUAGGUUGUGGUUUUUAGCGCUUUUGCCCUUUGGAGGCUUAUGCAUGCUGUAUGAUAACAAAAAAAGAUUUAAGAUACAGAUAAGAUAGAGGCUUUUGGGUCUGUCUAAGUGCACAUAGAAGCUUGGGUGCUUUUGUCCUUUAAGGACUAUUUUAUGCAUGUAGUAUGAUGAGAUAUGAUGAUAUACAUGAGAUACUUCAUUGAUCUAUCCUUUGUAGCUGCAGGCAUGACAAUGCCCGCAUAGUAUGUCAUUGCACUGCCCAUAUGCGGUCCAGGUACGACAAGAUCAUUUACUUGUUUAGUGACAGUUUAAGAAUAAAGUAUUCUAUGUUAUCUUUUGAUAUGAUUUUCAUGUGUAUUACGUACAGUAUAAUGUAUUCUUCACUGACAAUUGUUUGAUUUAAAGUUUGAAUAAUUUAACUAUGUGCUUACUUAUAGAUUAGUAAAGUUGGUAUGUCGAAAAAAUAUGAUCAUCUUUAAAGUAAGUUAUUUUCAAAAGAUGUUAUCCACUCACUGAGCUUACUAAUUUUUAUAUUAACAUUAUUUUAUUAUAUUUUUCCCCCCGUAGAAGGAUGCAGGUACACCAAUCGACCGACCGACUGUAGUUAUUUUGAAUUUUUGUUCAUGUGAUGGCACCAGGAGAAAUAGAUGGUAUUAUGCAUUUUGAUCAUCUCAUUUUGGAAUGUAUAAUUGUAUUAUGAUUUGAUGAUUAUGGAUGUUUAAUAUAUAUUGAAAUCAGAUAUAUUAUAAUAUUUUGAUAUUGGAGAUGUUUGGGUGUUAUUUGGUAUUUUGGUUGAGAAGGUUGAUUGAUGGAACUGCUUAUAUAUUAAACUAUGUUAGGAGUGCUUGUAUAAAUUUGCAAUUUUGGGAUUGUUAUAUUUAUAAGGGAAAUAAUUACCGAAUUUUUGGUAGAAUUAAAUUAUUAUCAGUCAAGUUAGACGAUAUCAAAUGGACCCGCAUGGAGUUCGAGGCGAGUCGUUUCAAAUCAAGUCCUUUAUAAAGCUCACUCACCCCUUGUUAGCUCUCAUUCGUUACAAGCAUCUAUCUAUCAAUAUAUCAAUCAAUGCUUACAUUUUCUUUCCUCUUAUACAUCAAAAUGAAGUUCAUCUUGGCAACCUUGCUGUGGCAUUAUUAUUGUCAAUAGUAUAGAACGUUUACAAUUAUCAUCUUCUGGUUGACCAAACCUGUAGCGACGUUCCAUUCGGAGCCAACUGUGUGGCCUCAGUCAGCGCGAAACUCUCUUUAAAACCCGAUGUUGAAAUUAAACCAAAAUGAAAUCCUCGGCGCAGCAAUAACUGUACUGAAGGAAUGCGUUAUUCAAGCUAGGAAAGACUAUUCUAAAGCGCAUGAAAUUAGUAAAGACAACUAUGAACAGAGCGUGCUCAUGGCUUCCAUUGAAGAAUACAAUAAAGUCGUAGAAGCUUGCGACAAAGCAAUUGAACCAGCUAAGGUUGGCGAUUUUGACGUCGCAAAAACGGCAGCUGAUGAAGCCGACCUGAGCGUUUCUCGCGCUGACGCAUACAACACCGAGAACGCGAACCUGAAACAUGUCAAUUUGAACUUGAAAAUUGCUUCUAAAAAUACAGUGGCCAUAGCCAUCAAGGCUCUUAGUAAUCCUGGUGCUGAAAGCGAAAAUUAAAAUAAGGAGAGUACAAUUACUUAAUUUAAUUGAUCAUGAUUUCAUAUUUCUUUCAUCAUCGAUCUUUGUCUUUUUUAUCUUUUUUGAUAUGCAAACCAAUUAUAUUCUUUUUUAUGAUAUUGUUGGAGAGAAUAAUAAUAAUAAUGUGUGCACUUUGAAGCAGCUUUCUGCUUAUGUUGUAAUGAAUAAUUUUUUAAUUGGUUGAUUGAAUUAUUUGAUGCUUUUAUUUAUUUAAUUACGUGAUGAUCAUGCAUGACUAAUUAAGUGGAUUCAUAGAAUUGGAAAAAUCAAAUAAUGACAUAAACAAAAUAAUAAAUCAAAACGAUUAAUUGAUUGUCUUCAUGUGUGUUAAUCAACAAAUGCAAAGAUUAAUUAUCAAUUAAUCAAUACAUAAAUAUAUGUUGACUUAAUUUUUGUCAAUCAAUCAAAUUUUCUAAUCACAAUUGUAUCGUUUCUGCAAAAACUUUUUCUCACAAGGUAAUAGAUUGUAGUAUUUCAUACCAAAUUAAAAAUUGUCCGUGUUACUGAUGAAAAUCAUGAUAACAUUAUUAGAGAGCUUUUUUUUUUCUUUUUUCCCUUCCCUUUUUUUCUGUUUUGUCCUUUGUUUGAUUGGGCGUAAUGAAACAGAUAUAACAAGGGACCAAGCAUGACCUAUAUGUAUAUCUUCAUCAACAAACAAGGAACCAAUGGAUUGAAUUUGAUGUGUCACAGCACAAUAAGUUAAAUCUUAAAUUUGGACAGACAAGCAAAUAUAGAAGCAUCUAAUCCACCAAAGGAUAGACAUGGGACUUGACAUGAAAAUAAAUACAGACACAAACAUAAACAUUUACUCCUCCAAUGAUUGUUUCAAUAUCUUUAUCCUUGAUAUUUGCUCACUUUUAUAAAAUAUAAAUCUGCUGGUAAAUUUUUUGUACCUUAAACAGUUUUCUGACUUAUGAGAAAAAAACUAUUUUAAAAAAAUAUUGCAGAGAAAAAAAAAAAAAAAACCUGCUAAAGAGACAAAAUAAUGUCAGACGUGCAUUGGUUCUGGGCAUUCCGGCAUUGUUUCCUCAGGUGAAGCUGCCCAUAUGAAUGCUUGUUUACGACAUGGAAACACAUCGUGUGCUGCUGCUUCCAAUGCAUCAGACCUCACCUAUACUAACAACAACAAAUAGAUGAAUAAUCUAAUCAGAGGUGAUUGUACAUAUACCGACAAUAGGGUUUAUUUUAACUAUGACACAAUUGCACAACUAAUUCCCAUAUUAAGGCUCAAUUUAGGACUGGUUCGGCAAUUAAAAAGUGUUUCGUAAGGACUUUCAAUUAUGAUUUGGAAGUUAAAGAUAAUUUUACUCAACAAUUGUUUGAUGAAAUUGUAUUAGAUCUUGGCCAGGACUUGACCGAGUGUUUUCAAUCAGCUUUCUUUGGCUAGUCACUCAAGUUUAAGCCCUGUAAGUGGUAUGAACCUAAGAAAUUGAUUCAGGCUUUUUGCACCACCCCACAACUUACUAUUUUUUCAAAUAUAUUUACUUUAAAAAUCAGGGCAUCUUGAUAGGCACCCCUCCAUGUUAAGUUAAAUGAAUAUCGGUGGGUGAGGUUUAUAAUAAUAGACAGCAAUAAGAUACCACAACUUCUUUAUGGACAUGCAAUCCAUCGGUCGCAGCAGAACUAGCUGACAGCGCCUGCAGGGAACAUGCAAUUAUAUUUUGAUCAGUGUUCACGAAGCUAAAGCAGUGUAAAUAACAGAUCAUGGCUCAAUUAAUUAAUUACCUGAAGGUGAGUAAAUAAUUGAGAAUGAAAUUAUAUUAUUAAGCAAAGACAUAAGCUAAAUUACCCCAUUUAUCUGUUUGAAUCUCGUCUUAAGAGCAAAUGGCGGCACUGACGAGGCUUGCUCAGUUUCGCCCUGCAUGGCUGCAUGUCUGAUAAGAGUGGAAAAAUAGUGCCUUUAGCUAAAUCGUAGAAUGUUAAAUCUGAUGCUACUGAAUAUGGAGAGUGAUUCAUAUACACGGUCUUCAUGAAUAUAUAGUUGUUAAUUACAGGAGAAGUUGCAAUAUGAAGUUAAUUUGAAAUUUAUAUUUCUCACCUCGAAUAAUUUCUAGUAAAUCGCUGAUUCGAUAAGGUUAAACUUUCUUUAUGAUCAUCAUCAUCUUCUUGGUCUUCGCCUUCCGAUGUUCCUAUUUCUGAUGUUUCUCCACAUUUUCUUCCUCUUUUAACAACUUUCGUUGAAGAUUUUGACAGAAAUAUCAUUGUGAGAAGAGUAUUUCUAAAGUUUACAACUUGGAAAUGAGACCUUAUGUGAUAUGUACAUGAAGGAUAGAGUACAUGUCAGUAUUUAUAAGAAACAAUGUGAUGGUUUUAAAGAAACUAAAUAAAGUUUAUUAUUUAAUAAAAAGUCAAAUACAAAUCCCGAAGAAUCCGCUGUAUAAUCGGACAAAAUCUAGAAAACAUAGUCACUUUUAAUAAAAAGUUAAAUACAAAUCCCGAAGAAUCCGCUAUAUAAUCUGAUAGAAUCUAGAAAAUGGAGGUACAUGCAUUGCAAUAUCAUUACUUUGUACGACUGGAUUAUUUUUACAAAUUUUUUUCCAAAGAAACUAAUAAAAUUUAUUAUUUAAUAAAAAGUCAAAAUACAAAUCCCGAAGAAUCCGCUGUAUAAUCUGACAGAAUUUGGAAAACGGAGGCACAUGCAUGGCAAUAUCAUUACUUUGUACGACUGGAUUAUUUUUACAAAUUUUUAUCCAAUCCCUUGUUUGAUGCCUGUAAAUCAAUAUUUAAAUGUAGAGUUAUUUUGUUAUGUUAUUUGAUUUUAACUAUUAAUGUGAAUAUUGGAAUAUAUAUUUAUAUUGAACUAAUAAAAUAAUUGUAUAAAAACAUUUGAAUAAACUUAAUUAUGAAUUAUGAAUUCAUGAUGUAAGGUAGCGUUUGUUUUUUAAUCUAAAAUCUUAGUGAGUCUGAAUUUAGCUAAAAUCUGAAUAGAUUUGAAUUGCAUAUGUCUAAAUGGCAUGUUUGUUUUCUCUUUUUUGAUGUCUGAAUGUAAGUGACAUCUUUUUUUUUAUAAAUAAAAAAAAUCUGAAAUAUGAUUAUUUAACAUUUAUAUUCUUGUAAGAAUUAUUUAUACUUAUUAUAAAUUUUAAGAUUUAAAUAUGUGCACGUUACAAUUAAAAUCAAAGAUAUGUAGAAUUGAGUAAUUGAUCUUUAAAUAAAAAUAUUAUUAUAUUACUCCAAAUACAAAAUUGAAUCAAACUUAUUAUACUUCAAAAUUUAAAUUUAAUUUUAUAAUUUACAUCAUCUUUUUUACCAUUUAAGAUUGUAAAAGCCCAUUCGCCCAAACCUAGUCUUAAUUAGCUGUACUUAAGUGUAAAGGCCCAUAUGUUCUUAAGAAAUGUUAAGAGUUUUCUUAGACCCAUAAGUGAAUGGAUAUGUGUAAUGCCCUCAACUCCAAGCCAGAGUUAUAACUGUUGGCAGAUCUGUGUAAUCCUUUUAAAAUCGUUCUCUAAUUAUAUUAAAAGACAAAAUAAAUCUAAUUAAAUUCUUAUAUUUCUCUCUCUAUAAGUUUCUUUUUCUAAUGGAAAAAGGACAUCUACACCCCUAAAGUUUGAAAAAAUGAUCAUCAACACCCCUAUGUUUUCAAAGAUGGACACCAAGACUCCCUUUUGAUGAUUAUACCCUUUAUCUCUAUUAUCUCAAAAGAAUUAACUCUAAUAUUUUACAAUAAAUAGAAAUAUGNNNNNNNNNNNNNNNNNNNNNNNNNNNNNNNNNNNNNNNNNNNNNNNNNNNNNNNNNNNNNNNNNNNNNNNNNNNNNNNNNNNNNNNNNNNNNNNNNNNNNNNNNNNNNNNNNNNNNNNNNNNNNNNNNNNNNNNNNNNNNNNNNNNNNNNNNNNNNNNNNNNNNNNNNNNNNNNNNNNNNNNNNNNNNNNNNNNNNUAUUAGUAUGUGAGAAUGUUUUUAAUUGUAGAACGUAUUUUAUGCAAAUAUUUAUUUAAAAUCUUUACAAUAAAAAAAAUAUAUUAUUAAAAUAAUAUAAUAAAUUACAUAUUGAAAUAUUAAAUAUUUUAAUAUUUUUAGUCUACUGCAUAGAUUAUAUUAUUUAUAUGGUAUUUGUAUUUGCUAAAAAUUUUAAAGUCAGGUUUUUAGAAUAAUAGAGAUCAGAUAAGGGAUAUAAUCGCCAAAAGAAGGUCAUGGUGUCCCUCCUUGAAAACUUAGGGGUGUUGGUGACCAUUUCCCCAAAUCUUGGGGGUGUAGAUGUUCUUUUUCCUUUUCUAAUUCAUUACCCCCACACAACUACAGCAAACAACCAAAAUUUUGUGGGAUCUAUAGUUCAGGCAGAAGCGGCCGAAUGCUUCCGGGAACUCAGGCAGAUAGAACCUUGGUUGAUUUGUUUUUCUUCAUCUGAAAUUAUGCCUGAUGGCUAUCCUUUUAAUUGGUUUAAAUUCUUCUUUUUUCUUUGAGUUGUUGAUUUAUAGUGCCUUACAUGCAAAAUUCAAAAUUUCGGAUGAUGAUAAUCUUGUUUUAGAAGAGAUUUCUAGUUAUGGUAGCAGCAUUCUUGAUCGUGGCAUCACAAGCACAUGCUCUGGUUUGCUUAGUUUGCCUUUUGUCUCUGAUAUUUUCUUGGCAUUGUGGGAUAUUGUUUCUUUCUUUUUUUUUUUGGUUAUAGGAUUCGGAGAUAUUGUAUAUGUAUGACGAUGAUAUAAUAAAGUGCUUUUGAUAAAUUCACCUGGUCGGUUUACUUCACCAACCAUUAAUGAGCAAAUCCUCCCAGUGACCCUCAAACUCUUCUACACAAUUAUAAUAAUUUCAGUUUUAUAUAUAGAAAAAUGAACAGCUCUCAAAUAUAUUAUUUGAUAAUGACAAACAAAACAACUCACUCCAAUAAAUCUCGUAAUAAAUAAAUGGUCCAUAUUGCAAGUCUUUUUAGGACGCAUUCAAAAAGAAAACAUAAGGAAUGGCAUUGCAAGAAUAUGGAAUCAGAAUAACAGUGAUACAAAGAGAAAAAAAGGGGAUGGUCGGAUUGCUUUGUUUGCAAAAUUAUUGAUGCGGGGGUCUACUUGUUUUUAAUUCACUUUAUUAAUUAAUUAGCGAACCAAACAUGUAAUCAUUUGAAAAAGGAUCAUUGGCCCCAGCUUACAAAAGAUGAAUUUGUAAGACAUAUUAAUUUUGGUGAAAAUGUAGUGUUAUUAAGUUAUGAAUUCAUUAACUUAGAGGUAUUAAUAUUUACUUACGAUGGUGAUUAAUUUAUUUAACUUGUCAUAGUCUUCAAUUAACAAUGAAGUGAAAUCAAUUUAUGGAAAAAAAUAAUAAGUUUUUUACUUUUUAAGAUUUUAAUUCUUAGGAUUUCAUUUCGCUCUUUUUCGAUUAUUGACGUUGUCGAAGAAGGCAAUAAAAGCUUGUUGAAUUUCAUCAAAGGCUUGUAUCUCACCUCACAAAUUGGCAAUAUCGAUUGGCGUCUUUAUAGGUGAAGCCAUCACGAAUUUAUCACUCCUUUCAUAUGGAUACCCAUAAAUUUUAACCUUAUUUUAUUUUUGAUGCACAAUCUAACUUAACAAAAAUAGUAUUCAAAUUGUCACAAAAUGUUUUUUUUUUUUAAAUCAUAUACAAUAGUUAAUUUUUCUUCUUUUUUACUCCAGGAUCCAGCUCCAUACCCCUCUUUUUUGUCGUUGUCAUGCUCAGCCGUUAGAUUUUAAUUACGUUAACCUAACGGUUGGGAUUUGUAAAUGAAUAAUGAAGUUGUGUUUAGCUUCUAUUUGAGCCCAUUGCAUCUAAUUGGUUUUGUGGUUUUUUGUCUUUCUUCUCUGUAACGCUUGACUAGUUUUGAAAAUAUCGAUAGCCAUCGACUGGAAAUAUUAAAUGCACCGUUAUAUGGAUUUACGUUUCGCAAAUUGUGGCGCCAUGGCGGGAUGGUAAAAACUAUAAUCACGUGCCGUUAACAUUUACAUGGUUAAUGUCAUCGAGAUCACAUGGUUGUUAUUUAUGAAAAGAGAAUUGAUAGAAAUUUCGUUAAUCCACUAUUGCAACAAUAUAUUGUUAUAAAUUGCAUUGUUUCCCAUAUAACAAAUAUAAUAAAAUCUCGAUAAAUUAAUAGCUCUGGGACCAUGAAAUAAUUUAUUAAAAUUUAACGAAUAUUAAUUAUUCGAUAAAUAAAUAAAUUAUUAAUUUAUAAAAAUAUUUGUUAUUUUAGAAAAAUAUGAUGACGUUUAUAGUAUUUAUAUACCUUGAGUUGGAAUCUGUUAUGUUUUAUUUGAAUAAUACUUUUCUUUUAAGAAGAUUUUUUAAUAGUUAACUGCUUUAUAAUUUCAAACAAAGAAGUAGAUGAUAUUGACGUUGAAUAAUUUUCUGUCGCAAAACAACAAUACCAAUUAGGAUUUCUUUUCGCAUUACAAAAAGUCAAAGACGAGAUCUAAGUUAAAAUUAAUUUUAAAAAGAAGCAAACAAUGCUAAGAACGUAUUUUACACAAGCUAUAUGGACAUGUCAUAUGGAUUUCGUUUUUAUACUAGAUAAUUAUUAAUUUAUAUGAUAACAUAUUUCCUUCAAAUUAUAGUAUUUGAAUUUGAAAUUAUUUUUUUUAAAAAAAAAUCUAGGAUUACAAUAAUAGUCGUGAUUCGAUUGGUUUCGAUUUUUUAAGGAAAAAAAGUUGGGGAAAUAGACAAACAAGGAAGGAACAAGUUAAGCACAGCCAAUAAACAGGGGAAAGUGAAUGCUAUUGGUAAUGUCAAUAGCAUUGUUUCAUAUGAUGCACAAAUUACGUUUAUAACUUCUUUCAUAAUAUAAACACUCAUAAAUUUUACCCAAAUUAUCCAAAAAAAAAGAAGAAAAAAAUCAUGUAGUUAAUUUUUCUUCUUCUUUACUCCACUAUUCAACAAGAGUAUAAUAAAUUUUCUUCUUCUUUGCUCCAUUAUUCAAUAGGAGUAUAACAAACUAGGGAAAGGAGAAAUUAAGGAGAAAAUUAGGGUGAUUAUUGCAAUGAUAAGAACACAGGCAAGUGCUUAUUUCAGACACAUGCGUUGCAUUCAUUAAUUUGACCAAAAAUAAAUGAAUUUAUUUGUAUUUUAAUCAAAAUCGAGGGAUGUCAACAAAAUUGUUCCACUCCACGUAUUUAUCAUUUUCUCGUUAAGAAAAAAAAAUUUGCAUAAAGUUAAGAAACCAGUAGUCACUGAACGGGAGAAACAGAGUGAGGAGAGUUCAAAUUUCAAAAGAUGGAACCCGAAGAAGAAACCCUAACAACAAUCCUAGAAGAAGAAGAAUAUGAUGAUGAAGAUGCGGCCAUGCCCAAUGUUAAGCAAAACCUUAAAACAAAAACAAAAGACAACUCUUUGGACUCGAGCGAUGCCUCUGACUCCGACUCGGAUUCUGACUCAGAAGACGAAGCAAAACAGAACAUGGAGCUUCAAAACUAGAGUAUCAGCUAUCCAAUGAACCUUCCAAUUACGACACCCACGUUCAAGUAACUUCAAUACGCAUACUUAUUCCGUGAUUUUGUGGACACCCAUUUACUUGUUCUUUCUUAAUUGGUUAGCGAUAAAAAAUGGCUUUUUUUUCUUUAGUAUAUAAAGGUUUUGAGAAAAAUGGGUGAGAUAGAGAAGCUGAGACAAGCUAGGGAAGCGAUGAAAGAGAUUUUUUCCAUUGACUCCUGCUAGGUGGCAAGAAUGGGCGAGAGAUGAAGCCUCUAUUUCAACUGGGCCUCUGUCAUUUCCUUUUUGCAGUGGUUUUCGAGUUUUUGAACAAAUAUUUUUUCACUUAGAGAUAUAGAUGUUUAUGUUCGUCAUUUGCUAGUGUAAAAAGGAACAAAACCUGCUUAAAAGGUAUUAAAGAAAGAAAAAGAGAACCAAUUUGAAGAAGGGAAUACUUAUAGUGGGAGUUCUAUUCUUUGGGGUUUAAUUGAUGGGAGAAGAAACAACUUAUAUGUUUACAGAAUUAGACAUUUGAUUGCUGAGUUAGUUGAGUUGAGGAAGAUAAUUAAUCACAAUGUCUGAUGUUGUUUCUGUUGGCGUCAACUAAUUGUUAAGAUUUCAUACUUUCAUUCAACAAUGCAAUAGACUUUGGUUGGGUCCACCUUAGUUGGGUGUUCUGAGGAACCAAUGAGUGUCUUGAGAAAACUUGGGUGGAGUGUGGAUCAUUUUCAGGAUUCAGUUUCCAAGAAAGCAAAAAUGAAGUCGGAGUCGUAGUUUAAAUUAAUUUAUGUUUUUGUCUUUUUCUGUGAGCCCAGUGACUUUUGUUUUCACUUUGUUCUCUUUUGCUUCUUUCCCUCCUUUUCCUGCUGUUUCUUGACAAUCAAGCAGAUCAGGAUUAAGUGUUUACUUUUGGUGUAAUUAUUCACCCUAACUCGAAUAAUACAUAGGUUUAGUGCUAUCAAAAUAGGAAGUGAAUUAAUAUCUGAAGCUGACUUGGGAGUGGAAUGUGUGUUAGUAAAAAUAUGCUAUUAUGGUAGAUAGAAUUUGCAUUUUAGGUAAGACUAAAAUAAUUACCGCUGUUAAUUUAUUUCAAUAAGUUCGUACAUCAUUCGAUAAUAAGUCGAAGAUUUUAAUGGUUUUGUUUCCUGCAAAUUUGUCAUCAGUGCAUGGACAAAGUUCAAUGGAUGAACUUCUCUUAGUUAAUUCGAGUUCUGUAAGAAACACUAAUCUUGCCCUGUACUUUGGAGUAUUUUAAUAAUUGAUGUUAAGAUUUGCUAAUGUGAAAACGAAGAAAACCUGCUUAAAGGUAUUAAAGAAAGAAAAAGAGAACCAAUUUGGAGAAGGGAAUCCUUAUAGUGGGAGUUCUAUUCUUUGGGGUUUAAUUGAUGGGAGAAGAAACAGCUUAUAUGUUUACAGACAUAGACAUUUGAUUGCUGAGUUAGUUGAGGAAGAUAAUUAAUCACAAUGUUUGAUGUUGUUUCUGUUGGCCUCAGCUAAUUGUUAAGAUUUCAUACUUUUUUCUGGUUUUUCAUAACUGUGACCUAAAGCUUAAUGUAUACUUUGAUAAUUACAUAAUCGGUUUCUUGCUGAUAUUUGGCUUUAAUUUGUAGACCUGAGGCUCUUUUGGGAGUUGGGAAGAUUUACGAAAGAGGAGUUUCUGAUUAUCUGGUUUGUUCUCUUUAUGCCUACAGAAUUUGAAUUCACUGGUAAGCUUGAUUCACCUUGUUUUGAUUUACUACCAAGAGGUGUUAACAGUUCAUCAUGCACAAAAAGAGGUGGGGAAAAAAGAAAUCUUCUUGCUAUAUACAUAAAUUUAAUAGUUGAAUCAUUUUCAACCAAAGAAAUGUGCUGAAGAGCAGCAUUUUCGUUUAUAUCAAAGUUCAAUUGCAUCUUAUAUCAUCUGUUUCCAUCUCCUUUGUGGUAAAUAAAGUUCUUGAUAAUGACAAUAAGAAUCACAGAAGAAGUUGUUAAUUUCAUAUCUGGAGAUUUUCAUCAUAGUAGUUCAUUGAAAGUAAAGACAACUGAGUACUCCUUUUUCUGAUGCAGUCUGUCCCUCUUUGGUGUGUUUAUUCGAAAUUUGUGCAAGAAUAUGAUCCAUCUAUACGAGAAUGUGCCUAAUAAAAUAUCCCAAAGGUGCCUAAUACAGUGAAAUUAACAUAUUCAGCUCAUGAGAUUGCCGUUAUAUAUAUUGAAAAAGAAAUUAAUAUAAGAAACUGAAAAUUAAUUGACACUGGAUCAUGUUGGAUUGUCAGUUGUUAAUUAUGAUGGGAGUAUAAUCUUGGUCUUUUAAUUGUCAUCUAGGUAAUGCAUGUGCACUUUCAUUUGUGAGAGAGAAAAUAUUUGACAAUCACGAAAACAACAACAAUUCACUCCCAUAAACAACAUAAUAGAUACAUGGUCUAUAUUGCAAGUCCUUUUAUGAUUUUAAUUAAAAGAGAAAAUGCAAAGGACAUAUUAUAUAUAAUUGAAUGUUCUCCUUGAUAAUCAGUCAAAAUAACACCAAUCUGGCUAACUAAUACAAUCAUCAUAAUUAUCCAAUUUUCAUUUUAAUUAUGUCCAAUCAUGCUAAUUUAAUAAAUAACACUGAAGACAUGAGUAUUUAUAUGUUCAACGACUUUGGCUGAGUAUGAAAAAUAUAAAAGCUGCAUUUUUGCUUUGUGUUACUGUAGGACAUGACCAUAUUAUGUUGCAUUUGUCAGAAAACUGAAAAUUAUCGAAAAGGAUCCUAAAAGAGAUGUGUUGAAUUGUGAGCUUAAAAAUGAGUUUUAGAAGUUUCUGACAUGUCGGUUUGUAUCCUUGAUUGUGCACGCCCUGUUGGUUUCUGGAUGAAACAGGAGAAUAUGACAUCUGUGUAUUGUCUUUUACUUGCAGUAAGUGAAUCACAUGUUCUUCACAUGAUUUGACAUACUUUAUACGGAUUUAGCAGUUGUUUUGGUCACUUAUUGAAGCACGAGUUAAGCUCGUGAUUCAAGGUUGUUAACUGACCGUUGUAAGGCGGGAAAAUUCUGGGUUUCUUACAACAAACCCAGAAGGCAGCUGGUGAGUGUGAGAUGUUUCUAGAUUCUUCAUGAUCUGUAUAUAUAGUCUUAGAGGCUAUAGUUGAGCCAUAUGAAAAGCUUGCAACUUCUUAAUGUUUGUAGCUUGGUCUUGGUAAUUGCUUUGACGAGGGAAGUGAGCUAAAAUGAUAUCAACUUUUAUUUAUGGACAGGUUAAGAAAAUUUUUGAGUUCCUGAAAAAUGGCUUCCAUGAGAUCAGCAGUUCUUUGGAUUUAUCUUUCGAAUAUGAUUUGGUUGCUGAUGAGAAAAUUCCAUUCCUAGCUUAUCUUGCCAGUGUUCUAAAGGAGCAUUCCUUUUUCCCAUAUGAGCCACCAGCUGGAAGCAAAAGAUUCAGGAAUCUGAUUGCUGACUUCAUGAAAAUGUACCACCAUAUUCCACUAAAUGCUGAUGUGAGAAAACCUUCACCACUCAUCUGUUUUUUUACUUCUCUAGACAAGUAAUUUUUGUAUUGUCUGUCCUAGAUUCUGUUUUCCCUGAUGCAUUAUUUCAAUUUCUUUGCACGUGAAGUCCUAGGAUCUGUUUCCCCUGAUGCAUUAUUUCAAUUUCUUUGCAUGUGAACUUGGAGCAUUCAUAUUAGUUUAGGAGUGAAUCUAUUGGUCAUUUACUUGUUUGUAACAAAUAACAUAUGAAACAAUCUUGUUAUUUUUUAUUCUCCAUAUGUAGAGCUCUAUGGACCAAUCGCUUGUCUUCUGUUAUCCUCAUUAGAAUUUCUUCAGACUACUUCCACUUCAUGCUAUUUGUGAUAAUUUGUAUUGUUUUUGUGGUUUUUCGUAUGUCUGUUGGACAAAUACUGUAAUAUGAAAUUUUAUCUAAUGGUGUCCUUUAUUCCUUUUGCAUCCUGUCCCCUCUAGUAGUUAAAUGUAUUUUUGGAUUUGUCAAUUUAUUUGAUUUGAUGAAAUCUUGAUUCUCAUGUUAUCUAUCUGUUUAUCCAACUUGACCAUGGAAUGUGUUGUUGCUGUGAGUUACGCUGCACGUCCUUGUUAUUCGUCUAGUCUUUUUAUGUAAACAUACGGGUUUGGAUGUACUCGUAUAUAUACUGGACCUGAGAUAUUUGCACCUGACUUACUUAUUGAUGUAUGUGUAAAAUGAAGAACUUUUUGAGAUCUGGAAUGGAUCAAGACCUGCAAUUUUUAUUUGUAGAUUUUCCACUCUCCAUUUCAAUUAUAAAAGACAGUUUGUGAAUGCUGCAUGAAUAAGCUAGCCAAACUUAAAGAUGCUUAAUUGCCUCUUUCUCUUCUUUUGUAUACGAGUAAAACAAUCCACAUUCCUAACUUUUCUUCUCCACUUGUUUCUCAAGAAUGUUGUCUUUCCUUCAAGAGCUGUGUGGCAAUUGUGAAUGCUCUUCGAUUGUUUUCACCUCGCCUCAAACAUCUAACCAGACACUUACCGAAGCAAUGGUUAACAAGUUUAGCAAUCAAGGUAUGAUCUAUUUCUGAUUGAUUUUUGUGUUAUUUUUGACAUAGUUGAAGAUGUCAUUUUUUGGCAGAUUUUCUUUGCUAUUCUUGGAACAAGUAAUAGUGCUUAUUGCCUUGUUUGCACACAUACUAGUCUAAGACACAAGACAGAAGUUUUUGGAUGAUGAAAUAUCUGAUAUGAACUCAGCACAUUGUUUACCUGUUGCCUUUAUUCCUCAAGUGACAGUAAAAACUAGUAAUUGCAGUAGAUGAUAUAUUUAAUGAAAAUUACUGGGCAGCCAGACUUUUGUGUUGACAUUGAAGGGGGAGAUGGACAAAAGUCGAAGUAAUACAAUGAGUGCUGAGUUGGAACAUGUUAAUGCUCAUUUGUAAAAUGGGUGAGGAUCACAGUGCCAAAGCUUGCAGCCUAAGGUUAUCAACAUUGAUGAAGAGGCUAGUAAUUCUUCCGGUGAAGAUAUUAACGCCACGAAAGCUCAAUGUAAUUGAUUAAAUGAAGAAGUGCUUGCUUUGCUUGAUGUGCUAUUCGUUUAUGAUCUUUUCCUGGUUUUGUUGUGAGAUGUUUCUCUUUGGA
rnacentral:lncRNA from 1 species